rnacentral:tRNA from 1 species
AUUUAUAGUAAAUUUAUAAUUGAUUUGCAAUCAGUUGAAAUGGUUAAACCAUAUGAAUA